rnacentral:hammerhead_ribozyme from 1 species
GCACUACUGAGGAGUCCCACAAUAGGACGAAACGGUUGUCCAAUGC